CUACGGGGUGCUCCAGUGGGGAAUAUUGCACAAUGGAGGAAACUCUGGUGCAGCAACGCCGCGUGGAGGAUGACACUUUUCGGAGCGUAAACUCCUUUUAUAUAGGAAGAUAAUGACGGUACUAUAUGAAUAAGCACCGGCUAACUCCGUGCCAGCAGCCGCGGUAAUACGGAGGGUGCAAGCGUUACUCGGAAUCACUGGGCGUAAAGAGCGUGUAGGCGGGUUAAUAAGUCAGAAGUGAAAUCCAAUGGCUCAACCAUUGAACUGCUUUUGAAACUGUUAACCUAGAAUAUGGGAGAGGUAGAUGGAAUUUCUGGUGUAGGGGUAAAAUCCGUAGAGAUCAGAAGGAAUACCGAUUGCGAAGGCGAUCUACUGGAACAUUAUUGACGCUGAGACGCGAAAGCGUGGGGAGCAAACAGGAUUAGAUACCCCCGUAGUC
rnacentral:rRNA from 1 species